rnacentral:rRNA from 1 species
UAGGGUGCGAGCGUUGUCCGGAAUUACUGGGCGUAAAGAGCUCGUAGGUGGUUUGUCGCGUUGUUCGUGAAAUCUCACGGCUUAACUGUGAGCGUGCGGGCGAUACGGGCAGACUUGAGUACUGCAGGGGAGACUGGAAUUCCUGGUGUAGCGGUGGAAUGCGCAGAUAUCAGGAGGAACACCGGUGGCGAAGGCGGGUCUCUGGGCAGUAACUGACGCUGAGGAGCGAAAGCGUGGGGAGCGAACAGGAUUAGAUACCCUGGUAGUCCACGCCGUAAACGGUGGGUACUAGGUGUGGGUUUCCUUCCUUGGGAUCCGUGCCGUAGCUAACGCAUUAAGUACCCCGCCUGGGGAGUACGGCCGCAAGGCUAAAACUCAAAGAAAUUGACGGGGGCCCGCACAAGCGGCGGAGCAUGUGGAUUAAUUCGAUGCAACGCGAAGAACCUUACCUGGGUUUGACAUGCACAGGACGCCGGCAGAGAUGUCGGUUCCCUUGUGGCCUGUGUGCAGGUGGUGCAUGGCUGUCGUCAGCUCGUGUCGUGAGAUGUUGGGUUAA